AGCCAGACCCGCAGAGAGCCUGCAUCUCGAAGUAGCUCUACUAUAUUUCUCUCACACACGUUAAGGUGCGAACACACCAAGCGCGUACCUCGCGUAUAGACGCGUAUAAAAUCGGCAAUUUUUCCAUAGGGAACCAUUGGUUUACGCGCGUAUGAGGUGUGUACACGUGUAUCAUGCGUACCAAGCAACAUUUUACUCGCGUAUGGGGCGUAUGAGGCGCGUAUAUAUACACGUGCGUACGCGAGGAGUUCAAAAAAUUGAACUUUUUACGCUCAUACGUGUGAUACUUAGCCGCAAUAGCCAAUCAGCGUGGAGCUUGACCCGACGUCACUGGCAGAGAGUAGUGACCCUUGCACAGAAGCAUACGGCCGACAUCUUUCUUUAUUCUGGGUGGAAAUAGUAACAUAGUUACGCCAUUAAAUGCGUUUAUGGAAACAUUUUUAGCGAGAAAUGUGCAUUUUACUUUCAUAAUGUUCACUCGGUGAAUGUGAAGGAUGUUUGGUUUGAUAGUUAUGACGAAGAGUGAACGCUCCGUUCACUUGCAUGGACAGAGUCUCUGGUUGCUAAGCAACCUCAACGUCUUGGCGGACUAUUUCUCUGCCGAUCAACACUACGAAUGCUGGAAACACACCAGACACACCAUGUGAAGUUAUUUAACCCGAUUAUUGUUAUUUAUAUCCGAGAUUUAUUUAAUCUAACCCGAUCCAAGCUCUAUCAUGCACCCAAACACGGCGGCGUUUGGGUUUCCUUCCUCGGACUCCUAAAUCCAGCGCAGCCACAGGCGCGUAGCUGCGUACGUAGGACCAUUUUUGACACAAAAUGGUCAAGCAACAUUUUAGCUGCGUACCGCGCGUACAUAGUACGCGAGGUACGCGCUUGGUGUGUUCGCACCUUCAGAUACUAUUCCCUCUCUUCGAUUUCAUAGCUAUCAUACCAAAAUGACCAACGAAGGCGAAGGACAACUCUGGGGUGGUGACUGGUCUGUCUAGUUACUGGACCAGAUGAAAUGAGACGGAGAGGUAAUAAAGUCUGUCGGCACGAGGACCUUGGAUUUAUCAAGUAAAGUGGCAACGGUUAUACAGAGUCAUAAGCGUGAGAAAUCGAAUAUGUCUAAGUCCCUAAUCAGCGCUGAUGGUUCGUCCGGAGCUUCGCCUCCGUGGAAGGUCUGCUUCAGAAGAAGGUGAAGAGUCUCUGUGUGACACAGUCUUAUGCUGUAUCUUCCUCGUGAUGAGCAGGUUAUUUUGCCCAACAACUGCGUGUGCAGUACUGCACAACAUUUGCGUUGGUGUGGGCGAUGACCUCCCAGUGGAGGAUGGGGCCCUGGAGGGAGAUGACCCUCCUCUUGAAGGAGAAUGUGGCACGGAGUCACAGAGUGGAGCUCCUUGGCGUGCGGCACUGGCCAAUGCCAUUACCCCUCUUGAAGUGGCUCCACAGGACCACGACUACUUUGUUCUGCCUGUGACCGGACCAAGACAUACAUUUUAACAUACAUUUUUUUUAUAUUAUUUAAUCACUUUUAUCCAUUAUGAAUGUGUUUUUUGUUGUGGUUGAUCGAAUCCUCUUUAUUUAAAAAAAUCAAUUACAUUUUUGUAAAACUAAGUGAAAUUGUCUGAGAACUUAAUUUAUGCAUCACAUUUACAGUAUGGUUGAUUAUUAAUUAUGCAGGGGGAAAAAAGACAAAGAAAGUGUUGAUAAACAUGUAUUUAUUUUUAUAGAUAACUGAUUGGAUCUCAUUCAUACAUACAU
ensembl:lncRNA